rnacentral:lncRNA from 1 species
GAAAAUGAUCCUGGCAUUUGCCUUGCAUUCAACUCCAUUCAUUGGAUCCCACAGGCCAGCUCCGCAUGGCAGAUUGUUGAUUACUGUCAUAAGCACCAGAAAGGAGUGUGACAUACAAGAGGCAUCCUUCUUCUCUGGGGGUUUGCUGUAAUAAGCCUGUGGGAACAGCAAGUGAUGCUGAGCUGUGCCAUGCUCUACGCAGGGGACCCUGGCCUCGGGUCUCUACAGAGGCAACCCCUCCAACAGUCGACUGCUCUUGGAUCAGAAAUCCCUGCUGAGUUGGGAAAAUGAAGAAGGAUGAGUUGGGUUGUGCUUCUGGCUCCCAGCCCUCAGUCAGUCAGGAGAAAUGAUGGCUGAUGAUCUGUAAACAGUGCCAUUUUUAGCAUGGCUGGGAUGACUGUUGUUCCAGGGCCUGUUUCUGGGAUGGGCUGUCUGACGAGGGCUUCGAUAACAGCCUGCUCCCAGUUACAGUUUGCUGCUUGCUCUGCUUGGCUUGGCAAUGGGAACAUCCUAAAAACAGCUCUAUCCAUGGAGGAAUCACAGGGCUUGAAUGGGAAUGACUGACUCAAGAGUGAAAAUUUUGGAAGCUAAAGGAGGAAAAAAGAAAUGGCAAUCUGCAAAACUGCAGAAAAUUGUAAUAUCUCCUGCUGUUUCCCCUCACCCAGGUGGACUUGUUGAGGGGUUUCUCCUUCUCUUUGCUGUGCUCUAGCAAUCUGAGUGAGAUUGGUGCCUGAUCCAGCCAGAGCAGGCAAGACACUGCUUCUGAGCUUCCCUGCUGAGCCAGACUGCUGCCCCAUAGAGCUAGGGCUGGCAGCAACUCCCUCAUUUUCCAGCAUCUGUGGCAGCAGCAAUGACCCUGGUGGGAGGGAUGGUCUUCAUCUUGCCCAAUAUUUGCCCAGGGCUGAAAUGACUAUGCUCUUUCCCUUCAUGGCUUCCAUGGCAGGA